rnacentral:tRNA from 1 species
AGAGUUAUAGCUUAGUGGAAGAGCUUCUGCUUGGCAUGCAGAAAGCCAAUCCCUGCUUGGCAUGCAGAAAGUUCAAUCCCUGGCAUCUCCA